UGCUUAGAGGUUAAGCCCGAUGAACUGAAUAUCCAUUAUGGAAAAUUCAUCACUUAAUAUUAUUGUAUUUUUAUUAAUACAAUGAGAACAGUGUGCACUUUUUCCAUAAAGGACAUUGUAAUCUGUUAAUGUUAAAAUAUAAAAAUUUAUCAAAAGAUCUUAAGGCCAAGUUUAUUCGAAUUAUUUUGCUUGCAAAUUAACAUAGAAUAAUUCCUUUUGUUUCUGAUAAAGCGUUGACAGAUUUAUUAUAUAUAGUGCUUGAAUUCUUCGGAAUUUUAUAAUAGCAUGAAUCAUCAUAUGAUAUUUAUGUUUACUAUUAUAUGCACUUAUAUGAUUUACAAUGCGAUAGAUUCAGGAUACCUUCGGGACCCGUCUUGAAACACGGACCAAGGAGUCUAACAUAUGUGCAAGUUAUUGGGAAUAUUUUUUUAAAAUAAACCCAAAAGCGAAAUUAACUUAACUGUUAAAUUAAUGGGAUUAGUUUAUAUUUUAUUUAUUUAAAAUUAUAAAUACAAUCCCGGGGCGUUCUAUACAGUUAUGUAUAAUGUUAUUUUUAAUAAUAUUUAUACCUCUAACUA
rnacentral:rRNA from 1 species